CUUCAAUGUAGCGAGAAAUUCCCGCACCCGGAGGCGUCCUUCAGCUGGCCCCUAAACAAAUAUAUACUAGUCCAGUGAUAAUGAACGCCAAACUAAUUUCCAAAUUGUACACAAGAAACUAAAAUUAAAAUAAUACAAGACUAACAAAGGCCAGAGGCUCCUGACUUGGGAUGCCUUAUAACAUCUGUUUGUAAAUGCGCUUAUCCUUUCUUUCAUUUGAAUAAAAAAAAAUAUUUAAUAUCAAAUAUAUAUUUAUUUGUUUAUUCAGGUUGUACCAUUUUAAAUAAUUCUUCUUCGUCUUCUUCUUCUUCUUCUAAACUGUAAAAGUGUUAAUAUUUUCUGUCUAUCAAGAUUAAGUUCGAUGGCACGUGCCAAUAAUCUUAAGGUAAUAAAAUCAACGAUCCAUGAAAUAACAUGACAAUUGCAAUGGCUAUUCCACAGUUACAGCAUUCGUUCACCUGAGAUUGUAUCAUACAUGUACCUCCGUAUGUGUAGUUUAAGGUUCUAUAUCAAAGAUAUUACAUACGAUAUUGAUAGCAUUUUUUCUAUCAAAAAUGAUCAAAAAUGUAUGUUCGUAUACUUGUAUCUCUAGCUAUAUAUAGAUGCUUACCUAAAAUGUAUUGAAUAUGUAAAAGUUUAUGUAAAUAUUUUUUUUAAAUAUUUGCCAAAAGAAAAAUUUUACGAAAAAGAGAAUAAAGAGAAUCCAUAAUAUCACAGGACCUCCUUAGUGCACUAAGAGCAAACAUUUGCACUAAGGACCUGCUGGAAUGAUACACUUGACACAAACGACAUUGCAUAUAGAAGUAGACGUUGUAAAAAUAAAUAAUUUCAAUGUUUUUAAUCAUAUCUUUAGUUAUUAAAAAGUUAUUUAAUGUUUUAUCGACACGUGCCACACCUAGUUGAUUGUAAUCUAUAGAAAUUCAUGUUCGUUCAACCUUGACCUGUUUUGAAUACACUAGUAUACUGAUGAUUAAAAAUGUGUAUAUUAUGUUAUUUCGUUGUGUUGUUUUCUCGUUGAGUUGUUACUGUCGAAUCCGUUUUGUUUUUCUGUCUGUUAUAGUUUUUACUUCUAUGUAAAAGUGUAUUUUCUACUAAUUUUUGUUUUUAUUUUUGUUUCUUUUGAUUUCGUUUGCUUAUUCCGUAAGUUCACUUUAUUUCUAAGUUUUCUUGCCAUUUUAGGAGGUUGAGCGUAAACACAAAUGUUUAUCACGUCACUUGAUCUGAUCUGACUUAACACGGUAUACCUGAAAAGAGUCUGAGUGUCUAAACAGGUCUUCACGUUUUUUCCUAGCGGUAAAUUAAGUCGAUCAAGACUUGAUCAGUCAAAAUUACCAUUUCAGACUUAAAUCUGGCAAAUAGUUUAGACACAUCCAAAGGAAAACAGUCUAUGUACUCAGUGUUAACAUAGACCUUCAGGACCGUUCAGGAUGCUACCACUUAUCUGUUAGUAUCUAAUAUGAAAGAUGAUCAAUUAUAAAGAAUAUAACUUGUGUAAUAUCAAUCGCCCGAGUAUUGCAUUCAUAUUGCAGACUCUGUCGGUAUCAUUGCAUUCAAACGGGUAAAGAUAUGUUCUUAAACGGAAUAUAGAAAAUCUCUCUAAAUUUAGUCAAUCCAAUUACAAUACAUACUAGUAAUACAAAUGCCCAACCAAUGAAAUUUAUUUUUUAAGCAUGUUUUGUAUCGAAUUUGAAUAACAUACAACGUCGUAUCAAACCCAUCGAAAUAUCUAUAGAAAUAUGGCAUAGAACUUCUCUAUACAAAAACAAACAUAGCCAUUUACAAGGGAAAUACUUAUAAUUUGAAAAUAUAAAUCAUUAAAUGACCAAUAUAUACGAUAAUGGUAUAAUCAAAAGUAUAAAAAUGAUUUUGAAAGACAACAAUCUGCACUAACUGCCGAGAUGAUACCUAAAUUAGGAGAAUUGUUCAGUAUUCUUUAAAUUUUUGACAGAAACUAGGCAUUAACUGUUGUUUCAGUUUAGGAUGAAGGUUGGUUCUUAUUUUAAAAAUUUGUAUUUGUUUAUGUUUUUUUUUUGCAACAAUCAUAAGUCAGGAAUCUGAUGUUCAGGAGUUGUCGUUUGUUGAUGUGGGUUAUAAGCAUUUCUCGUUUCUCGUUUUUCGUAUAUAUCAGACCGUUGGUUUUCCGUUUGAAUGGUUUUGGACGCAUGUAUUUUGGGGUCCUAAAAAAGCUUGCUGUUCGGUGUGAGCCAAAGCUCCGUGUUGAAGACUGGAUUUUGACCUAUAAUGGUUAACUUUUAUAAAUAGUGACUUGGAUGAGAAAGUUGUCUCAUUGACACUCGUACCACUUCUUCUUUUAUAUAUAUACACACGAAUUUCACCUUUUGUUUAAAUUUUUUUUCGGGUAUAACUGUAAUACCGCAGUCCCACUAGGCCACGAUCGCACUACGAUUUGUGAAAAAAAUGCAAAUUUUGAUGAUCGUAGUACAAUCGUGUAGAUCGCAGUAAGGUCGUAUCAUGAUCGUGGUAAGGUCUUCAAGAUCGUGAUAAGCGUGGCCAACUUUGAACAUGUUCAAUACAAUCGUGGUGCGGUCGUGGCAAAAUCCGGUCGUAGUAGAAACGUAGUGAGAGCGCACUAAGGUCGUAGUAAGAUCGCGAAGGUCGCUGUACCAUCGUAGCGAGAGCGUAGUGAAAGCGUGAUUCUAUUUGGAGAGACUGCGCCACGAUCUCACAGCGACGUUAUUACGACCUCAUAUGACCAUCACGUUCUCACCGCGACCCAACUACGCUUCCACUACGACUAUUCCACGUUUACACUACGCUGGUUCAAGACUAUAGUACGAUUCUAGCACGCCCAUGCCGUCCUCAUCUUCUUACGACCUAACUACGUCCAUACUACGACCAUCAUUCUCAUUGUCAUUUUCACAUAAAAUAUAUAAAAUCUCUCCAGGUUUUGUUUGUCUAUAUGUGAUUAGGACUUCUUGUCCAUUUUCUCUAAAGGCUCAACCAUGCUUCUCGUUUUUAUAUAGAUUAGACCGUUGGUUUUCCCGUUUGAAUGGUUUUACACUAGUAAUUUUUGUUGGAAAUUUAUAGCUUGCUGUGAUGUGAGUCAAAGCUCCGUAUUGAAGGCCGUACCUUGAUAAAUUGUUACUUGAAUUGGAUGGAAGGAGAGUUGUCUCAUUGGCACUCAUACCAGAUCUUCUAUAUCUAAUGACAAUAAUGUGUCAUCUCUGCUAUCGUUCACUAAAAUAUCGUCAUUUGAGCUUUAUAGACAAGCAAUUGGUUGUAAUUUAGGUUGGAUUAGUCGGUCCGACAUCUCUGCUGCAUCAGGAUUCGUUACUAUUAGAGCUCACUCUGUCUCUACAUCAACCCCUACUAUCACGCCUCAGCGUUCUAGUAGAUUUUGGUGGCAUGACUGUAUUGUUUCCUGGAAAUCUAAGCAUUAAUCAGAAAUAGAUGGAAUGAAAUUGUACUGGCAUGGAACACGAUCUUGACGUUAUUGGUGAGAACGUAGUUAAGCUGGGGUCACACAUUCACGAUGUUACUCCGUCAUUGAAAGGACUAUUCCCGAUUAGAAUUGGUCAAAAGUCUGAUCAAGAUCCUAUGAAUCGUGGAUGGACAUUCAAACUUUAAUUAGAAUUUGUAAAACAAAUAAUCUAAUCACGACAACAAUCAGAUAUUGUUGAGGAAGCGUCGAUAUUCAACCGUUUCCAAGCGAAUUUGUCCCGAUAAUCCCGUUCUCUAUCCGCUUCUGAUCCGAUUUGUAUCUUUUGCAUGGUAAAUUCGACCGAGUCUGUCACGACUGCGACCCGAUUCUACCGAAUGUAAUCCGACAGAGAUUAGACAGUGAUCAGACAGUGAACCUACGCUGACGAAAGUUAUCCGUUCGAAAACUGUCGGUGUACUCGGGAUGAUCAGGUACUGUCAGAACGUAAUUCUAUCACUGUCCGCUCUAUCGCAUUGCAAACGGCUUUGUCUGGUCUCAGUCGUAUUGUAUUCUGUAAUUAUCGGGACUCUGACGUGGGUAUCAUUUACGAAUUUCGUAUUAAUAACUGGACUUUUCCGGAACGGUUUCGGCAAAGACCGUUCGCAAUCGACAAGAUCUUGAUGCAAUCUGGACUCAAUCGGCAGAAAAACAGUAAUGAAAAAUUUCUCCAGAUUAUUCCCGUUCCACAGGACACCGUCCAGAAAACACAAAACAUUGUUUUUGAUCCGAUACAGCAGAAUCUGUCACGACAUAGUCACGCCUGCAAUCCGAAAAGACAAAAUCGGCUGAGUUUCCCCGAAUGUUACGGGACUCGCCUAACUGUCUGGGUGCUUCGCCGAACUAUCCGGACCAUUCCCGACCAGGAAUCUGUUACGAACUUAAACGACUGCGUUCAGACAAAGAUAGGACAUUCCAGAUUAUUAAGGAUAUUAAUCCGACUUUUUCACUUUUCAUGUCUUAUCGCUGUCUGAUCUCAAACGGGAGCAAUAAUCGGCAAUGUGUGAACCCCGCAUUAGAUCGCGGUAUAAACGUAGUAUAAUCGUGGUAAGAACGUGCUAUUAUCGCAGUAGAAGCGUGGUAAGACCGUGUUGCAAUCGGAUAACUCGUGGUAUGGUCGUAGUGAGAACGUGAUGAGCGUAGAAAGAUCUUGAUAAGCGUAGUGAGGUCGCAGAAUAAGCGUGGUGAGAACAUGGUGUAAUCGUAGCGGGAUCGUCGUGAGAAGCGUAAUGAGGACGUAGUAGCAUCGUGAAAGCAACGAAAUUAUACAUUUUAUUGUCGCUCAUACAUUUUUACCGCGACCUCACCACGAUCUGAAUUUAUUUUAGAUCGCGGUGAGCGUGAUGCGAUCGUGGUCUUGUGGGACUGGGGCUUAAAGCUCCAGUCCCACUAGAACACGAUCGCACCACGUUCACCGCGAUCUAAAUUAAAUUCAUAUCGCGGUGAGGUCGCAGUAUGAGCAGCAUGAAAAUGUAAAUUUUCGUUGCUUUCACGAUGCUACUACGUCCUCAUUACACUUCUAUAACGAUCCCGCUACGAUUGUACCACGUUCUCACCAUGUUUAUUUUGCGACCUCAUUACGAUUAUCACGAUCUUUCUACGCUCAUUACGUUCUCACUACGACCAUAUAUCGAGUUAUCCGAUUGGAACACGAUCUUACCACGCUUCUACUGCGAUUAUAGCAUGUUUUUACCACGAUUAUACUACGUUCAUACUGCGUUCUUUCUACGUUCUCAUCAAUAAAGUCAACAUCGUGUUCCAUAUCAAUACAGUUUCAUUCCUUAUAUUUCUGAUUUAUACGUAGAUUUCUCGCAAACUGCACAUUCUUGCCACAAAAAUCUACAAGAGCACGUGGGUGUGGUGGUUGGAGAAGUUAUAGAGGCAUCGCGAGCUCUGAUAGGAUAGUAACGAAUCCUGCAUGAUCUACCACAGAUGUCGGAGCGACUAAUCCAACUUGGAUCAUAACCUAUUGUUGGUCCAUCAAGCUCAAAUGACGAAAGUGGACGGUAGCAGGGAUGACACAGGUGUGUCAAUCAUGUUUAAGCCGUUAGAGAAAAGGACAAGAAGUCCUAUCUACAUACAGACAAACAAACAAACCUGGAGAGCUUUUAUAUAUUUCAUGUGAAAUUGACAAGGAACAUGAUGGUCAUAGUAUGAACGAAGUCGAGUCGUAAGAAGAGCGGUUUGAGGACAGCAUUGGCGUGCUAGGAUCGUACUACUAGCGUGGUGUAAACGUGGUAUAGUCGUAGUGGAAGCGUAGAUGGAUCUUACAACGACCUUAGUGCACUUUCACUGCGCUUCUACUACGACCGGAUUUCGCAAUGACCGCACCACAAUUGUUGUGAACAAGUUCAAAGUUGGCCACGCUCAUCACGAUCUUGAAGACUUCACUUGAAGGCCUAGUGGGACUGCGGUAUAACAGAUAAACGUCCGGAUUUAAAAUAAAAGAACCAUUCCCUGCAAUGAAAUAAUCAACAAGAAAAACUGCGUUUCGAACUGUGUUUACUUUUUUUUAUCAUAUAAUUUUUUAAGUACACAAUACAUUUUUUAAUUGAUAAUAUAUCAGUUUCUUCCCAUAUAAGAUCUUCGAAUCAGAUUUCAGGUCAAAAUUGUCAAUCAAGGCCGUUCAUCGUAGUUAGGUACUUUGCGCUGUGUAGCAUUACGGUGUCGGUAAGUAAUUUGAUUAAUGCUCAAUUAAAAUAUAUCUCAUAAUUAGGUUUAAAAUGAUUUUGAUAUCUGUGACAUAUAUAUAUAUAUAUAUAUAUAUAUAUAUAUAUAUAUAUAUAUAUAUAUAUAUAUAUAAAAUUGCGAAUGGAAAUGGGGAAUGUGCCAAAGAGACAACAACCCGACCAUAGAGCAGACAACAGCAGAAGGUCACCAACAGGUCUUCAAUGCAACGAGAAAUUCUCGCAUCCGGAGGCGUCCUUCAGAUGGACCCUACACAAAUAUAUACUGGUUCAGUGAUAAUGAACACCAUAAUAAACUCCAAAUUGUACACAAGAAACCAAAAGUUAAAUAAUACAAGACUAACAAAGGCCAGAGGCUCCUGACUUGUGACAGGCGCAAAAAUGCGGCGGGGUUAAACAUGUUUGUGAGAUCUCAAC
rnacentral:lncRNA from 1 species